rnacentral:rRNA from 1 species
GACGAACGCUGGCGGCGUGCUUAACACAUGCAAGUCGAACGAGUGGCGAACGGGUGAGUAAUACGUGAGUAACCUGCCCUCCUUUUUGGGAUAAGCCUUGGAAACGGGGUCUAAUACCGGAUAUGAGGGGAUGGGCUCGCGGCCUAUCAGCUUGUUGGUGGGGUGAUGGCUACCAAGGCGUGACGGGUAGCCGGCCUGAGAGGGUGACCGGCCACAUUGGGACUGAGAUACGGCCCAGACUCCUACGGGAGGCAGCAGUGGGGAAUUUUGGACAAUGGGGGCAACCCUGAUCCAGCCAUGCCGCGUGUAUGAAGAAGUCCUUCGGGUUGUAAAGUACUUUUGUUAGGGAACGGUACCAUAAGAAAAAGCCCCGGCUAACUACGUGCCAGCAGCCGCGGUAAUUC